rnacentral:rRNA from 1 species
UAAGGGUUCCUGGGUCAAGCUGAUCUGCCCAGGGUAAGUCGGGACCUAAGGCGAGGCCGACAGGCGUAGUCGAUGGACAACCGGUUGAUAUUCCGGUACCCGCUUUGAAACGCCCAAUAUCGAAUCAGGCGAUGCUAAGUCCGUGAAGCCGCCCUGGACCCUUCGGGGAAAGGGGAGUGGUGGAGCCGACGAUCCAGACUUGUAGUAGGUAAGCGAUGGGGUGACGCAGGAAGGUAGUCCAGCCCGGGCGGUGGUUGUCCCGGGGUAAGGGUGUAGGGCGCUGUCUAGGCAAAUCCGGACAGCAUGAAGCCUGAGACCUGAUGCCGAGCCGAUUGUGGUGAAGUGGAUGAUCCUAUGCUGUCGAGAAAAGCCUCUAGCGAGUUUCAUGGCGGCCCGUACCCUAAACCGACUCAGGUGGUCAGGUAGAGAAUACCGAGGCGUUCGGGUGAACUAUGGUUAAGGAACUCGGCAAAAUGCCCCCGUAACUUCGGGAGAAGGGGGGCCAUUUCUGGUGAUGAGUCUUGCACUCUGAGCUGGGGGUGGCCGCAGAGACCAGCGAGAAGCGACUGUUUACUAAAAACACAGGUCCGUGCGAAGCCGUAAGGCGAUGUAUACGGACUGACGCCUGCCCGGUGCUGGAACGUUAAGGGGACCGGUUAGC